UACAGAGGGUGCGAGCGUUAUCCGGAAUCACUGGGCGUAAAGCGUCUGUAGGUGGUUCGAAAAGUCCACUGUUAAAAAUUGAGGCUUAACUUCAAAGAUGCCGUGGAAACUUUCAAACUAGAGUAUGGUAGGGGUAGAGGGAAUUUCCAGUGGAGCGGUGAAAUGCGUAGAUAUUGGAAAGACCACCGAUGGCGAAGGCACUCUACUGGGCCAUUACUGACACUGAGAGACGAAAGCUAGGGGAGCAAAUGGG
rnacentral:rRNA from 1 species